rnacentral:lncRNA from 1 species
UCUUCUGCUCCUGGCUCUUAGGACCCCCAUCACGGGGGGGGAGGCACCCCCCGCGAGGCGGGGUCUCAGAGCCAGCCCCUCUUCCCCCACUGGCCCUUAGGACUCCCAUCGUAGGGGAGCGAGGCACCCCCCGU